GCACAUUACAUUUUAGUGAAGAGAACCCAUAUGUGUUUAAAUAACUAAACAUUUAACAUGCUGACCUCUUAGUUUUAACUGUCAAUGAAAUUGUUUCAAACUUAUAAGCUUUGUCAUUAUUGUAGAAUAUAGCAAACCGACCUGGUAUUGACCUGGUGUUGUCCGACUUUCAUUAUCAUUAAACAAAUUAUUCGACAAGCUCAAAUGAGACACAUGCAAUCCAAAAAUUUCUCGACAUUGUAUUCAGGGAAACAUACAAACUAUAGGUUUUUACACUUUUUCAUUUAGUUUUGAAAUUGGCAAAUUUCUUUGAAUGUUGAUAAAGGUUGCAAUAUGUGAUAAAACUAUAAUGACCAGACCCCUGUUUACCAAGUGAAUUAAUAACUGAUUUUGUUUUGUUUUAAAAAAAUGGCAUUCAUGCAAUGUGCACUUAACUACAAGAAAGGGUUAAAUUUCUUAAACCCAUAUUUCUGCUGUAAAUUGGUUACCAAUGCGAAAUUCCCUUACCCGAUUUUUCUUUUAAUAAGUUACAUGUACCUCGAAAUAUUUGUCUUCCUUUGAGAAGAAAGAAAGAUCCAUAGUUGUCGACAACAAUCAUUUACAGUAAGAUUACAAUUUUAUAAACAUGUUAACAAAGAUCCACUUUUCUUAAUCAACAUUUUAUUGUGGGACAAAGGUAAUGAUUGUAAAGAGUUUAAAUGUUUCAUUGCACUUUGUUGAAAAUGGAUAUACAAAUAUAUCAUUCACAUUCAGUGAAUAUAACUGCUAGACAGUAUAUGACCAAAUGACAACGUUCUCGAUAGGAUGGUACUCUGGUAUUUCAAUCUUUGUGUCUCAUAUUUUGCAUACACCACCCACAAUGCAUAAGCAAUUGCAUAAUAAUCCUCGCAAAAACACAAAAUAAAAAUAGCAAAAUAAGCAAAAACAAUUGCAAUACAAAAAACAAACAAAAACAAAAACAAAACAAAAAACAAAACAUUUUGUAUCUUUAGAAAUAUAAUGUCUCUGCUAAUGAGGAAUUUUAUUUACACAAAAGAAAGUUUUCACAACACUUAAAACGAGUUUAUAUGUUUUGUGUUUAAAAUCUAUACUAAAAAUAUAUAUUUUCAGUUCAGUUCGAAAAAUGGAGUCUGUUAUAUAUUAAAUUAAGACGGCAUGGUCUCACAAAGUUCGUGUUUCAAGAUGUUUUAUUCUGGUAUUCAUGACAUCAAAUAUACUUCAAUAUUUACAAAUAAUCAUCAUUACUGCUUCAUCGAUCCGAACGUCUUCCGACGGAAUAAAGCCUGUACACAUCAUGUUAGUUAACUGUUUUAAAUCUAAACCAGUUUGCAUAUCGUAGGAUUGAUACAGCAAGUCUUCGCUCCAGAUGAAGAUUGUUCACAUCAUAAAUGUUUAUUAUUGAGAGUAUCGUUUGUUUUAGGAUACACACCUAUUU
rnacentral:lncRNA from 1 species